CUUUGCUAAACAAUGCUGUUAGGAAGCAGAAUUCAAUAUUUAGCAUUUGCUUUAAUCAGACAUAUAGAAUUGAGAACUAGUUUGUAGCUUAAUGUUUUCUAUUUAUACUUAAUGGGAGAAUAUAAUUGAGUUUUACAUACAUGUACUUCGGUGACACAACGGUGUUUGAGUUAUAUGUGUGUUUCAGUAUAUUUACAGUGUUUAUUUUAUUAAUAGGUCUAAAUGUAGGUGAUCAGUGUAUUACGUUGACCUUGACCUGUCGUGGUGGCCAUUUUUUGGGCCGGAUAUUGCGUGCCUUGUUUAGGAGCACUGUCAUUGAUUCAUUCAUUGAUUCAUCAUUGAUUGAUCACAUUACACUACAACUGUGAAUAAAAGGUGAAAA